AGCGGCCAUCUCCCAGGACGAAUGGGGAAUGUACCUCCUAUGUACACACUGCGGAACCUGCAACAGCGUCCCGUCAUGAACAGUGCCGUCGUUCCACUCCAGAGGCCGAGGUUCUCCCAAUUGUUGGGGAAACUGCCCCAGCUAAGCGGCACUACACGGCGGCGAUCCCUAACCCAGUCUCCAUGGUGAAUUGGAAGCCAAUUGAGCGGCCAUCUCCCAGGACGAAAGUGGAAUGUACUUCCUAUGAACACACUACGGACCCUGCAACAGCGUCCCGUCAUGACCAGUGCGGUCGUUCUACUCCAGAGGCCGAGGUUCUCCCAAUCGUUGGGGAAACCCUCCCAGCUACGCGGCGUUACAGGGCGGCG